rnacentral:rRNA from 1 species
CAUGGCUUUUUGAUAAUAAUUUAAGGUCUGAUCUGCUCAAUGAGUAUUAAAUAGCCGCAGUAUUUUGACUGUGCAAAGGUAGCAUAAUAAUUAGUUUCUUAAUUAGAAACUGGAAUGAAUGAUUGGACAAGAAAAUUACUGUCUCUAUUUUAAUAGUUUUUGAAUUUUAUUUUUAAGUGAAAAAGCUUAAAUAUUUAUAAAAGACGAGAAGACCCUAUAGAGUUUAAUAUUUUUAAUUUAAUUUGUAUUUAGAAUUUUUUUUAAAUUAAUUUAUUUGGUUGGGGUGAUGUAAAGAUUAAAAUAAUUCUUUAAAUAAUUAAUUAAAAAUUUUUAAAUUUUAAAGCUAUAUUUUAUAAAAUUAAAAUAAAUUACCUUAGGGAUAACAGCGUGAUUUUUCUUUAAAGUUCAUAUUAAAAGAAAAGUUUGCGACCUCGAUGUUGGAUUAAAAUUAAUUUUUGGUGCAAUAACUUAAAAAUUAGGUCUGUUCGACCUUUAAAAUUUUACAUGAUCUGAGUUUAGACCGGUGUGAGCCAGGUUGGAUUCUAUCUUUAGAAAGUAUUUUAUAUUUUAGUACGAAAGGACCAAGUAUAAGUUAAAUUAAUUGU